UGCUCCAUGCGGAUGCGGUGCGGUCCCAUCUGCCGAUGAUCAGACCGAGCGCCCCGCCCGGGCGCAGAACCCUGGCCAUCUCCGGCAGGGCGCGGCCGGCGUCGAACCAGUGGAACGCGCUGCCCACGAACACCGCGUCGACAGACUGGCUCGUCAGAGGGAUGGCCUCGGCCACCCCGGCCAGCAGCUCUGCCUCUGGUACUGCGGUCCCGAGCGCGUCGCGCAUCUCCGUAUGUGGCUCGACCGCAAUUACGUGCUCGAAGCGCUCGACGAGGGGACGUGUCAACCGGCCGUUGCCGGCUCCCAGGUCGAGGACGGUGGCCCUCGGGCCGAGCUCCAUCCGCGAGAUGAGCAGGUCGACCGCC
rnacentral:misc_RNA from 1 species